CAGUCGCCGCGGGAAUACGUAGGUGGCAAGCGUUAUCCGGAAUUAUUGGGCGUAAAGCGCGCGUAGGCGGUUUCUUAAGUCUGAUGUGAAAGCCCACGGCUCAACCGUGGAGGGUCAUUGGAAACUGGGAAACUUGAGUGCAGAAGAGGAAAGUGGAAUUCCAUGUGUAGCGGUGAAAUGCGCAGAGAUAUGGAGGAACACCAGUGGCGAAGGCGACUUUCUGGUCUGUAACUGACGCUGAUGUGCGAAAGCGUGGGGAUCAAACAGGAUUAGAUACCCCGGUAGUCCCUGUCUCUUAUAC
rnacentral:rRNA from 1 species